AUGGCGACGGUGCUUCACCAGCUCUCCUUCGCCGCGCCGAGCGCGGGCGCCAGGCGGCGGCAGGCCCGGGCGUCCGCGUCCGCGACGGACCGGCACGAGGUGCUGUCGCCCAAGCGGCGGCUGCCGCUGCGGAAGGUGCCGGGCGAGCACGGCCCGCCGCUGCUGGGCGCGCUCAAGGACCGGCUGGAGUACUUCUACGGGCCCGGCGGGCGCGACGGCUUCUUCGCCGCCCGCGUCCGCGCGCACCGCUCCACGGUGGUGCGCCUCAACAUGCCCCCCGGCCCCUUCGUGGCCAAGGACCCCCGCGUGGUGGCGCUCCUCGACGCCGCCUCCUUCCCGGUCCUCUUCGACACCUCGCUCGUCGACAAGACCGACCUCUUCACCGGCACCUUCAUGCCCUCCACCGACCUCACCGGCGGCUACCGCGUGCUCUCCUACGUCGACCCCGCCGAGCCCAACCACGCGCCGCUCAAGUCGCUCCUCUUCCACCUCCUCACCCACCGCCGCCAGCACGUCAUCCCCACGUUCCGCGAGGUCUAUGGCGGCCUCUUCGGCCGCAUGGAGAACGACCUCGCCCGCGUCGGCAAGGCCGACUUCGGCAGCUACAACGACGACGCCGCCUUCGGCUUCCUCUGCCAGGCGCUCCUCGGCCGCGACCCCGUCGACUCGCCGCUCCGGGACGAAGGGCCCAAGCUGAUCGCCAAGUGGCUGCUGUUCCAGAUCAGCCCGCUGCUCAGCCUCGGCCUGCCCACCCUCGUGGAGGACGGCCUCCUCCACAGCUUCCGCCUCCCGCCGGCGCUCAUCAAGAAGGACUACGGCCGCCUCGCCGACUUCUUCCGCGACGCCGGCAAGGCGGUGAUCGACGAGGGCGAGCGGAUAGGGAUCGCGCGGGAGGAGGCGGUGCACAACAUCCUCUUCGCCAUGUGCUUCAACUCCUUCGGCGGCAUCAAGAUCCUGUUCCCGUCGCUGGUGAAGUGGCUGGGCCGCGCCGGCGGGCGGGUGCACGGCCGGCUCGCGACCGAGGUGCGCGCCGCCGUACGCGCCAACGGCGGGGAGGUGACGAUGCAGGCGCUGGCCGAGAUGCCGCUGGUGAAGUCGGCCGUGUACGAGGCGCUGCGGAUCGAGCCGCCGGUGGCGAUGCAGUACGGGCGGGCGAAGCGGGACAUGGUGGUGGAGAGCCACGACUACGGGUACGAGGUGCGGGAGGGGGAGCUGCUGUUCGGGUACCAGCCCAUGGCCACCAAGGACCCGCGCGUGUUCCCGCGCGCCGAGGACUACGUGCCCGACAGGUUCCUAGGGGAGGACGGCGAGCGGCUGCUCCGGUACGUGGUGUGGUCCAACGGGCCCGAGUCGGCGACGCCCACGCUGCAGGACAAGCAGUGCGCCGGCAAGGACUUCGUGGUGCUCAUCGCGCGCCUGCUCGUCGCCGAGCUCUUCCUCCGGUACGACUCCUUGGACGUCCAGGUCGGGUCCUCGCCGCUGGGGUCGUCGGUCACCAUCACCUCGCUCAAGAAGGCCACCUUCUGA
rnacentral:rRNA from 1 species